rnacentral:rRNA from 1 species
UACAUGGGGUGCAAACGUUGCUCGGAAUUAUUGGGCGUAAAGCGCGACUGUGAGGCGGUUCGUUAAGUUCGGAUGUGAAAGCCCUCGGCUCAACUGAGGAAGUGCGCCCGAAACUGCAGAGCUUGAGUACCGGAGAGGGUGGCGGAAUUCCCCAAGUAGAGGUGGAAAUUCGUAGAUAUGGGGAGGAACACCGGUGGCGA